UUAAAUUGAAGAGUUUGAUCAUGGCUCAGAUUGAACGCUGGCGGCAGGCCUAACACAUGCAAGUCGAACGGUAACAGGAAACAGCUUGCUGUU
rnacentral:rRNA from 1 species